ACUCCUACGGGAGGCAGCAGUGGGGAAUAUUGGACAAUGGGCGCAAGCCUGAUCCAGCAAUGCCGCGUGUGUGAAGAAGGCCUUCGGGUUGUAAAGCACUUUUAUCAGGAGCGAAAUACCACGGGUUAAUACCCUAUGGGGCUGACGGUACCUGAGGAAUAAGCACCGGCUAACUUCGUGCCAGCAGCCGCGGUAAUACGAAGGGUGCAAGCGUUAAUCGGAAUUACUGGGCGUAAAGCGUGCGUAGGCGUUGACUUAAGUCUGCUGUGAAAUCCCCGGGCUCAACCUGGGAAUGGCAGUGGAUACUGGGUCGCUAGAGUGUGAUAGAGGAUGGUGGAAUUCCCGGUGUAGCGGUGAAAUGCGUAGAGAUCGGGAGGAACAUCAGUGGCGAAGGCGGCCAUCUGGAUCAACACUGACGCUGAGGCACGAAAGCGUGGGGAGCAAACAGGAUUAGAAACCCUAGUAGUCC
rnacentral:rRNA from 1 species